rnacentral:lncRNA from 1 species
GUUACAGUACAUGCAUUUUAAGAGUAUAUAGUGUUUUUAAUACAAAUUUUGGCAGCAGAGCAUGUUAAUUGUUACUUUCACUGUACUGAUCUGUGUGAGGCUUUCAUUUGUAUGUUCUAAACCAGUUUUUUCUCAGCUGGUUUGUGUAUAUAUAUAUAGUGAUUAUGGAAACUAAUUCUGUGUAAUUUAUAAUUUUCUAUGUCAGUGUAAAAUUCCAACAGCCUUCUCAAACAAACAGAAGCAAUAUAGUGUAUAUUGCCACAUUGUCUGGUGAAAGGGUUAAAGAACUUCACCUCCUGCACUUUUAGAUGCAAAUCCUUUUUUGUUUCUGUAAUAGUUAUAUUCAUUUAUUUUUUACAUCAUUUGUUUUCCUGACCAGUAUUUAAAGCCAAAAGGAUACUCUAAACAAUGGCCAAUGAGUUAUUCUAGAAGGCAUCCCAAGCAACGUGCCUAAACAUUAUAUUACAUACAGAAAUAAUAAAACAAGCAAACUACAUAUGUAUAGCGGCAUUGCCCUUAUUGCUUCCACUUGCAUUUUCUGCAUUAAAUUUCAGUGGCAUUUGUCAUCGUAAAUUGUUGCAAACUGAUCAGUUGUGUGAAAAUUGAGGGGAGAAAAACCACAAUAUCAUAGGUGGAAUCAUUAACUCUGGUUGCCCUUUUCUUUGUUCUUUAUAGGUGAUGAAAUCCAAUUGGUUUCUAAGUUGCUUUUUUUCUUCAGUUCAGAAUUACUUCCAGAUCAGCUUGACCAAAAAUGUUUUGUGUAUUAGCUUUAAGGUUGGCAGCUGUCCUUGUGUCACUUUCUGAUCUGUUAUUGAACAAGCAGGUUUGGAAACAAAACCACUCAUUUCAAUAUAUGAAUUGCAAUCCAAGUAGAAAUUACAAAUACAGGAGAGCAGUGUGUUGGCUUACAGAAGUGAUGCUUGUAAGGAGCAAAACUUUUGUCUUUUCCAAUGGAGCUAUUUGUCCCUUGCAAACAAGUUGAAUUAUCUAGCUACAUAGCCAUUAAAAGUGAUGGAGAUACUAGGAGCAAAUGACUUGAAACUGUGUUUCAGCCCUGUUGUCUACAGUUCAGCAAAGUCCUCUAGUAUGUUGCCCUUCCUUUUCUUAAUGAAGGGGCACAUCCAUCCACUACCCAGUUAAUAAUGAACUCAAAAUUGAAAAGGGGGAGAACUUUGUCCCGCUUCCCUCCAUUCCUGAUGGGUAAUGGGUAAUAACAGUUGAGUGGAGGUGUGAGAAGUGGUGAUGAGUGGAAUUCGCCUUUCAGUGUAGUUUGCCUUCUAAUUAAAGGGUGCAAUAGAGGUAAACUAGGUUGGCUUACCUAAUGCUGAUUCCAGUGGUCUUGAGAGUUCUUCCUUUACUAUUUGCAUUUAUUGUUGGUUUUGACAGCCUGUGAGGGAGGGGAAUUUAAGCCUGGGAUGUAACCUAGAUUUGAUGUAGUGUGAGUUUGUUCUGAGGAGAUGUAGGAUGUGUUUUACCCACUAACUGUAUUAUUACUUGUACAGGAAUCCUGAACUUGAAGAGGAAGCUUUGGAGGUGUGUUUUGAAGGUUUUUAUGGCAGGUGGGGGAGGGUGUACACACCUUUUGCCAUCAUUUACCAAUACUUUAUGCUACUCACAUAAGCUUACCAAGGUUUGAACAUACCUGGAGAGUUCUUCUGAAUGGCUGUGUUACCCGACCUGUUUAAUCAAAUUUUACUUGCAGGCAAUGGAAUUUGAGUCGUCUUUAUUAAAAGGUAUUCUAAUGCUUUUGCAA